rnacentral:rRNA from 1 species
CCUACGGGUGACUGCAGUGAGGAAUAUUGGUCAAUGGACGCAAGUCUGAACCAGCCAUGCCGCGUGCAGGAAGACGGCUCUAUGAGUUGUAAACUGCUUUUGUACGAGGGUAAACGCAGAUACGCGUAGCCGGACUGAGAGUACCUGAAGAAAAAGCAUCGGCUAACUCCGUGCCAGCAGCCGCGGUAAUACGGAGGAUGGGAGUGUUAUCCGGAUUUAUGGGGUUUAAAGGGUGCGUAGGCGGAAUGCCAAGUCAGCGGUAAAAUCGCGGGGCUCAACCUCGUUCCGCCGUUUAAACUGGCGUUGUUGAGUGGGCGAGAAGUAUGCGGAAUGCGUGGUGUAGCGGUGAAAUGCAUAGAUAUCACGCAGAACGCCGAUUGCGAAGGCAGCAUACCGGCGCCGAACUGACGCUGAAGCACGAAAGCGUGGGUAUCGAACAGGAUUAGAUACCCGAGUAGUC